GAGCCCUGUCAAUCCCAGCCCUCAAAGUCACACGCUGAACCCCUCCUCUACCCACGCAGCUCCACCACCUGUGCACACUUUAUCUGGGAAUUAAAUGAGAUAAUCGUGUAAGGCUCUUGGCGCAUCAUGAGCACUAGUAAGUGUCAGCUGGUAUCACAUUAGCACAGGUGCUCUUCUCUCUUGCUCUCACAAUCCUGCGCGGCCUCACCCUUUCUCCACAGGCCAGAACAGCUCCCUGCAGAAGUUAGCAAAACCAAGUAAAUUGUAAGAUUCAGUUGAAGCAAAGGAAUCAGGCCCCCAUCAGAAGAGAAUGAGAAGAGCGGGGCCAGAGCGGUGGGAGACAGGGUCUCAGGAAUCUGUUCCUGCCUUGGAACUGGAACUGGCCUGCUGUGUGACGUUGGACUGUUAAGAACUAUGCCCCUGGCUCUUCCCUGCCUUCCAGAGCUGGGUGAUCAGCACAUCGCCCCUAGGUUCCAGAGACCUGGACACUCCAAGGAUCUGAGAGGGAUAGAUCGCUCAACUUGGCCGGCCGAGCAAUGGUUCUCAAACUUCACAGACACCAAAUCAGCAGCUUUCACCUGAGCUUCCCCCAGCCCUGCCCCCAGGAAGGAGGGAUGGCAUUGUUCUGUCACACACACCUGCUGGGCACAGAUCACAGGGUCCCUCCCAGGGCAGGAAGGCAUGGGUGGGGCAGGAUUGACUGCCUGGGUCUCAAGAUGAAUUAUUCAUUCCCCGGAACCAGGAAGGGGAUUUUCUUGAGUGCUAGAGACCUCGAUACCUGGUGUACUCUAUUCAAUUUGGCUGGGAGGAAUAGCGGAGUAGCGGAGGUCGGGGGAGAGGGCGGAACCAGAGCAAAACAGCCUUGUGUUAUUAAAGGGAAGCUGCAUUCUAGGCCCUGGGUGUCCCAGCUCUGGCAAAAGAUGACUUGCCAAGCAGGCCCAAGCGGUAACCUACCACCUCCAAUGGACCGUGCAGGUGUAGACAAUGAGCAUGGCCACCGUGCAAGGCCAGUGCACCUUCCCCAAGUGUUCCAGACUUUCUAAGAAAGGCCUGGAGAACUUGACUCACUAGGAGAAGGUGGAGAGAGAACGAGCCCCAAAGAUGAUUGAGAUGGAGUUCUCAGCCCCUGGAGGGGUGGAGGCUCACAGAGACACAUCAUUUAAUUUUAGAAAAAUAAAGUAAUGUAGCAUUACUUGCGCCCGAGCGAUGCAGAGCAGUAAAAUUCCUGCCUGCUACAUGAAGAGCCUCAAAUGAAUGGGAAUGGGUGGCAGCAUUGGCGUCAGUCAUCUCCUUGCACAAGAUCCUUCAGUGGAGUCUUGGCCCCUGUCACUGAUCAUCCUCCACCACCCUCUGCCAGGUACUCAGGCCCCUGUGUCCUUCUACAAGAGUGGUACCUGCUACAGACUAAACUGUGUGUCCUCAAAUUUCAUAGUUUGAAACCCCCACUCCCAGUGUGACUGUAUUUGGAAAUUGAGUCUUUAAGAAGAUAAUUAAGGUUAAAUGAGGUCAUAAGGGUGGGGCCCUAACCUGAUAGGACUGGCGUCUUUACGAGAAGAGAAAGAGACGCCAGAGGCUGGGUGCACACAGAAGAAAGGCCGUGUGAGGAGAGUGAGAGGGUGGCCAUCUGAAAGCCGGGAGGAGAGUCCUCACCAGAACCUGCUCGACCUCUGUCUUGGACUUGCAGCCUCCAGAAUGCUCCAGAUCGCAUUCCAAGAUUCUGCUUCAGGAUCUCCCCUUGCCGUGGCUUCUGGAACAACCAGCCCCAACAGCCCUCUGGCACUGCAUGAUUUCCCUCUCCUUCCUACAGGAGCCCACAAGACUAUGUCCUUCUGCCUUUCUGUGGUCCUGGUGCCUUUAUCCCGAUCCUCUCUUAAUCCCCUCAACACUGUGAUUGUGCAGACAAACUAGUCUAGAUUCAAGUCCAGCCCCACUAAGGCUGUGUGAUCCAGACAAGUGACUUCAUGUGUUUGGGACUCAAUUUACUGUUCUUUGAAGUGAGGAUGACAGCACUUGUCUCCUAGGGCUGCUGUGAGGGUGAGAUGAGGUCCUGGCACACACCUGGGACAUCCUGGCUACACGGUGUUGACCUGAGAGCUCUCCCUAAUAAAACUCUGCAGGCUAACCUCCCUCUCCAAGAGUACUGCUGAGAACCUGACCUGUGAUGGUAGGAGGGUGAGACAUCUGUCGGCUGAUAGGCAGAUCUUCUGUCUCCUGGUUCCUGCCGUUUCCAUGUUGAGGUACAGAAUCAAUGUCCUUGGCCACACCCCAGGGGGAAGGAGACCCCUGACUCUGAGAGAGUAGUCACCAGCCUCUGCUACCGGGCCAGGAUUUCUGCAGCCACUUCACUAUCUUCCCCACCUCUAACAUCCUCCUCCUCGAAUAAGGCCCUUCACAGUAUCCUUGGUGGCAUUCUAAAUCACUAAUCCAGCCUCAGGUCUUUCCUGUGUAAAAUGACUCCUCUUUCCCUAGAGGAGACACUCAAGCCCAAGCUCAUUAACUCCGUUUGGGGCUCCUGCUCGUUCGCCCAGCUGCACCUCUUCCUUCUCUCUUUCCACAACAUUCUGAACUUUGUUAUUUCACACGACAUGUUCUUUCAUCUUGCCUUUUUGCAGGAGUCCUUCUCUCCGUUUGGAACACCUCCCGCUCCUCCUCUGAAACUUUAUCCCACAGGUGAUCCAUCCCUCCUGUUUCCCGUUCCUAGUUCCGUGGUUGCCGGGCCACUCUGCACUGUAACUAUCAGCUCAGUGGGCCGUCUUCCUCGCUCCUCCUUAAGGGUGGGGACUGUGCCCCGGUCAUCUCGGUGUCCCUAGGCCCUGGCGCAGAAGGAAUGCCUUAUACGUGACACAGGAAGCCCCCCAGUCCUAGGCUCUUAAAUCUACCUUUGGUUGGGGAGUGGGUGGAGGGACUAGGGCACCUGAAACUCACUGUUUCUUCCAAAAGCUCUGAGCCUGGGAGGAGCUGCCUGAAUUGCAGGGCAGUUGGGAGCUGGGGAUCUGACCACAGGCAGCGUGUGCCCACAGCCGUCCCCAUGGGAACCAUGUCAGGCAAAGCUCCAGCUUAGAAUGAGCAGCCUGCCUAGGGCCUGAACCCAGCGGGGGCCGACGUGGGCACAGGGCUGGCUUAGGCCACCCGCAGCCCCCCGCCUCAGGGGCCUGUGAGGGGCUGCAGCUGCAGGGAUCCGGUGGGCAGGUUGCCAUGGAAACCAAACUGCUCGCCUUUUCUGGUGCUUGGAGUUCUGACAGGGAGGCCAAACUCCACAGAGCACCCUUGCCCCUGGGCUCCUCCUGGCCCGCUCAGCCUGUGUCCAGGGCACAUCACGGGCACAGAGAUGGCUGACAGGGGCUCGGAGUCACAGGAAAGCAGAAAGCACCAAGAAACUGGCCAUGAUUCUCUCCCUUCCACCUCAUCUGAUUAUUGCCAUGGGUUGGGGAUGGUUACUGCCUGAGAGGAGAUGGCUCACCCAAGGAGCAGUGCCCAAAGGAGGCAAGAGUCACGUCUGGGAAAGCUGUGGUGUCAAGAGCCUUGGUGUAGCAGACCUUGAGUUCUCCUCCUUGUCCUCAUGCUUCACAGCUUCAUUGGUGAAGCCUUUCUACCUCUCUAAGCCCAGUUUCCCCACUCACAAAAUAAGGACCACUUGAUCCACCAGAUAUCCAUCAGGCAUCAUUAUUCAAAGAUGGUCACACAGUAAAGCCCUUACUCCUUAAGUGAGGCCCAAAACGUUCAGUCGUGUAGAAUGUGUGUUGCAUUAUCAUGAGGCUCGUGAAGUGACCAGGGUGAGCCAGCUGCCAAGGAUGAGAGCCAAUCGCCGAUUGCUGUCUGUCUUAAUUUGCAUUAUUAUGGGAUACGCCAUCACAAGACCCAUUAUUGUGGCCAUGUUCAGAAUUAUUUGUUCAGUAUCUCUCUCCCCCACUAGAAUGUGGGAACAUGGCCCUCAAUAAAUAUGUGCUGAAUAAAUGAAAAAACAAAUUCAUAUGAGAGUACAACGUGAGGACCUGCCCUGGUUUGGAGGGUCAGGGGAUGUAUGCUCAAGGGAGUGAUGUUUAGUCUGAAGAGUGAAGGAUGACUAGAGGUCGGUAAGUGAAGUGCGGGAAGGAAAUCAAAUAUAAGAAAACAGGAAAGAAUGAUGUCUGCAAGGGCUUCAAACUGGAAGAGAGUGCGGUGUGUUCAAGUGUCCAAAAGGAACCCGGUGUCACAGGCCGUGGAAAUGGGAGUGGGCUGGAACACUGCCACCAUGAAGCUGAGCCGUCAGGGAGAGCUCGUUAGCUAUUUCUGGGACCUGGGACUUCAUUGUAAUAGUGAUGGGCAGACAUUUAGGGGUUUUCAGCACAGGUGCUUUGUGAACAGAUGUCUGUUAUAAAGAACACUCUAGCUGCUGUGUGGAGAGUGUAUUGGAGAGUGAUAGAGUGACAGUGGGGAAACUGAGGCACAGAGAAAUUAGGUGAUGUCCAAGGACCCAAAACUUACCUACAACAGAGCCCACCCUCCGUGACAUCAACCCCAGAGCUGUUUCCCCUAAUGAUGCCACCUCUGAGAACUCUAAAGUCCAGGUUCUAAGCUGCAAGGAGGGGAGAAAGCAAGCGGAAAGGGUGAUUUCUAAAAGCAGAGAGCAGCCCUUUUCUAGCUGUGAAGAUUCUUUCAAGCGGCAGUGCCAGGGCUUAAUGUACACUCCACGGGCGCUCUGGGAACACCCCCUGAAGUGAAAGGAGUCCCUUCUCCCCGGCAGCCCCUCUCUCUUACUCGCCAGACCAGGACUUGCAAACCUGAGAUCCUGGGAGAUGCAGCCCUAACCAUACUCCUUAAAUAUUGUCUCAAAUUACCAUGUUUGUUAUUAUAUAAAACAUUUAAU
ensembl:lncRNA